rnacentral:rRNA from 1 species
GUGCCAGCCGCCGCGGUAAUACGUAGGUGGCAAGCGUUGUCCGGAAUUAUUGGGCGUAAAGCGCGCGCAGGCGGUCUCUUAAGUCUGAUGUGAAAGCCCACGGCUCAACCGUGGAGGGUCAUUGGAAACUGGGAGACUUGAGUACAGAAGAGGAGAGUGGAAUUCCACGUGUAGCGGUGAAAUGCGUAGAUAUGUGGAGGAACACCAGUGGCGAAGGCGACUCUCUGGUCUGUAACUGACGCUGAGGCGCGAAAGCGUGGGGAGCAAACAGGAUUAGAUACCCUGGUAGUCCACGCCGUAAACGAUGAGUGCUAGGUGUUAGGGGUUUCGAUGCCCUUAGUGCCGAAGUUAACACAUUAAGCACUCCGCCUGGGGAGUACGACCGCAAGGUUGAAACUCAAAGGAAUUGACGG